rnacentral:rRNA from 1 species
UACGUAGGCAGCAAGCGUUGUUCGGAAUUACUGGGCGUAAAGAGUGUGUAGGCGGUGUUCUAAGUUUGUCGUGAAAUCUCCCGGCUUAACUGGGAGGGUGCGGCGAAAACUGGAAUGCUAGAGGAUGGGAGAGGUAAGCGGAAUUCCUGGUGUAGCGGUGAAAUGCGUAGAUAUCAGGAGGAACACCGGUGGCGAAGGCGCACAUCUGGCCCGAUACUGACGCUGAAGCGCGAAAGCUAGGGGAGCAAACGGG